rnacentral:rRNA from 1 species
AUCUACAAUCAUACCACCCUAACUCAAUAUACCCAAUCCCAUUUGGUCUUGGAAGCUGAGCGUGAUCAGGCCUGGUCAGUAUUUGAAUGGGAAACAGCCUGGGAAUGCCAGGUGAUGUGGGGC